AUGAUCCUGUGGCUAAACUUGUUGUCCCUGCUAGCAGUCCUCAGAGGUGUCCUGUCAGAGGCCCAGUUGGUGGAGUCCGGAGGGGACGUGAGGAGGCCUGGAGAGUCCCUCCGCCUCACCUGCCAAGGCUCUGGGUUCAGCUUCAGCAGCUAUGAGAUGCACUGGGUGAGGCAGGCCCCUGGAAAAGGACUGGAAUGGGUGGCAUUGAUAACCUCUGGUUCCAGUACUUACUACUCGGACAAAGUCAAGGGACGCUUCACCAUCUCCAGGGACAACUCCAAAAGCCAACUCUAUCUGCAAAUGAACAGCCUGAAACUGGAGGACACGGCAGUCUAUUACUGUGCAAGACACACAGUGAGAGGAAAUUAUUAUUAUUAUUAUUUCAAUUUGUAUGGCUGCUCAUUUUUCCAAAUUUACUCUGGGGAACUAGCAACUGAUAAAAACACAACUCAAAAUACCAACCCAAAACAAAGGUAA